CCCCCAACACACAACAUUUAUACACAGCACUAUCACACUCAGCAUUCUCAGCACUCACACAACACUCUCACACACAUCACACCCAGCACUCUCACACCCAGCACUCUCACACGCAGCACUCUCACACACAUCAUAGCACUUUCACACACAUCAUAGCACUUUCACACACAUCAUAGCACUUUCACACACAGCACUCUCACACACAUCACAGCACUCUCACACACAGCACUUUCACACUCAGCACUCUCACACACAUCACACACAGCACUAUCACACCCAGCACUCACAACACACAACACUCUCACACACAGCACUCUCACACACAGCGCAGCACUCUCACACAUCAUAG